UACGUAGGUGGCAAGCGUUGUCCGGAUUUACUGGGCGUAAAGAGCGCGCAGGCGGUCGUUCAAGUCGAGUGUGAAAGCCCCCGGCUCAACUGGGGAGGGUCAUUCGAUACUGAUCGACUCGAAGGCAGGAGAGGGUAGUGGAAUUCCCGGUGUAGUGGUGAAAUGCGUAGAUAUCGGGAGGAACACCAGUGGCGAAGGCGACUUUCUGGGCUGUAACUGACGCUGAGGCGCGAAAGCGUGGGGAGCAAACAGG
rnacentral:rRNA from 1 species